UAGUCUUCUGGAGGGGGGGCAGUUGGAGGAGAUGGGGAGGAUUUUUCUCCUCUCCUCCUGCUGCCACCCCUUUCUGGAAGAUG